rnacentral:sRNA from 1 species
GUGUGCGAGCCCAGUCCGAUUCCUGCGCACCGCGCGCACCCGCCUGACAACCGCUCGCUACGUUUUGUUACCC